rnacentral:lncRNA from 1 species
CAUCCGUUUUCAAACUGGACAGACAAAAUUUAAAAAGUGUUCUUCACGAUCUCCCUGGAAAUAAUUCACGCUAUCACUUUGUGAACAUUGUAAAUAUGAAACUGCAAAUACGGACCAAAACGAAUCAAAUUUGAAAGCGUGGAUGAUCAUGUUUCAUGCCGACUGUAAGUGCUCUAAAAAAAGGGGGGUGCUCCAUGAAUUUUGCUGCACGUCAAAGACGUCCAUGUACUAAAUAAUUAGAAUGUAAGACAUAUUCACUUAACUCUUGUCUACUUUAUACCGGAUUUUAUAUAAAUAAAUUCCCAUUGUAUCUGGGAACAAUUAGUUUUAUCCUCAUUAUAAACUAACUAUCUAACUAAUUUUAUUCAGCAUAAAAUCCAGUACAAAAGGAUCAUCGCUGAAACACAUGAACACAUAAAAAACAUAUACAAAACAAAACAACAAUAAAACAUAACAGCCAACACUUUUGACACUUAUAAUAAGCAAGAGACAAAACUCAAUAUAUGUUUUUUUUGUAAUUUAUUUUUAUUUCAUCUGAAAAUACACCAAGUAUAUAUUGUGAUACACAAUUAUAUAAUUAAUUCAUAAUAUAUAUAUUGAUAUUAAAUUUUUCAAUAACAGUCUAAAAUUAAAAAGUUACUUAUGCUAAUUGUUCUAAAUUUUCUACUGGAUCAUACACAUCCUUUAUCACUCUGGAUUAGAAUACCUGAAUAUGCUGAUAAGGUUAAUGAUUGCAUCAGCCUUCUCCUAUAGCCACAUGCAUCACUGCCUAUACAGUGAUGUAAAACAUGAGAGGUACCAGGAGAGGCCACCAGAGAUCAUUAACAGAUAACAUGUUGGACAACAUGUUGGACAGAGUCACAUAAUAAAUGUCAACCUAAGUCAAGGGAGAUAAUUCAAAUACAAUCAAACAAAAACUAGUAUAUCAAUAUAUAUAUAAACAAUAGCAAUAAACAUAGAUAGUACUUUUAAGAUGCACACAAAUCACUGUCCAGUUGUGAUGUGCAUCAACAUAUUAUUAAUUCUACAUGAACUAUUAUAAAGCCUUAAGUAAGUACAUAAAUAGAAAGAUCUCUCCUCACAUGUGAACUAAGUUUUUAAUUAAUUCCCAUUUACUAUCAAAUUUCUCUCUUGCUCUAGGGGAUCUGUAAAAGGAGGUAGAUAUUUUUUCUAUUUGGUAGGAAUUUUUAAUCAUAGCUAUGACACCUUUAAGAGUCGGUAAUGAAGUAUUAAAGCGACAUGUAUACAUGUAAAUAUAAUAUUUAACCAGAAUAGUGAAUAAGUUUAGGGAAAUAUCCCAAGACUCUGACCCAAGAACAAUAUUUUCCACAUUAAGAAUUAAAGUUAAAUUAUUUUCAACUAGAAAAAGUGCUGCAAUUUCUAACCACAAAUUUCUAACUAGCAUACAUUCCCAGAAAAGGUGACUUAUAGUUUCUUUAGUUUCAUUACAGAAACUACAUAAGUUAGUUUCUUUUAACCCGUAUUUCUGCAAUAAUGCAUUUGUAGCGAGAGUUCUAUGUAAAAUCUUAAACUGGAACAUACUAAAUUUGUUGUUUUUAGUGCAACAAAAGGGUAAACUAUAAAUGAAAUCCCAAUUUUCUAUAUGAGUGCCUAGUUCCUUACACAUUUUGUCUUCUUGUUUUGUAGGACGUUCUGUAUACAUUGACAAGAAUUUUUUAUAAAAGAACUGACAUGACUUUUUAUUGUUUUUUAUAAAUUCAAAUUUAUCGUUAGAUAUGUGAGUAAUUUUCUCUGAAGUAGUGAUUAAAUUUUUCCAGUCUUUUGGUAUCAUAUGCAGCAAAAGAUGGUAUUCCAAGAAAUUAAUAUUAAGAUUAUAUUUUUCGCAGAAUUCUUUUAAAGUAAAAAAAUUACUGUUUUCAUCAAGUAAAUCACCUAUAAAGAAAACUCCUGAUUCAACCCACCUCUGGUAAAAGACAGUUUUAUUAUUAAUUUUCAAACUCUUGUUUAGCCAUAUGGAUUGUUUCAUGAUCCCUUCAGCAGUGCCAUUAGUGACAGUGUUUAGGAUAUUCCAGUUUAGUAAAAUAUCUUUCCAGAAAUUAUUAAAAUUUGAAGAAAUCUUUUGGAUACCAUCAGGGGUCAUCAACCAUAUUUUGUCUGCUCCUAAUCUGUUGUAUUGAUCUAUUAACAAUGUUUUCCAUGGGGAUAUAUUCAAGGGGUCUAAAAGUUUAUUUAUCCAUGUCAUCUUUAAUGAAUAACAAAAGGAUCUUAUAUCUGGCAUUUUCAACCCCCCAUUUUCAAAUAACCCUAUCAUAACUUUUCUUUUAAUCUUGUCUGGUUUUCCUGACCACAAGAAACUAAAAAAAAUAUUUUGAAUUUCUUUUAUUUUAUCAUCCGGAGGAUUUGGCAAAACUGUCAAUGAUUGAAUUAGAAUAGGUAGAGCUAGUGAUUUAAUGACAGUGAUCUUUCCCAUAUAUGUUAAAUCUCUAUAAACCCAGGAAUUUAGCAGGCUCUGUAUUUUUUUUUUUUUCUUCAAAAUUUACAAGCGUUUUAUUUUCACUGAACAGAUCAAAUUUUAUUCCUAAAAGUUUAAAUUUUCCUGAAUGAUUCCAGUUCAAAUUUCUUGUAGUUGUUAGUUUAUCCCUUGAGUGAAUCUUUGACCCAAUCCAUAUGGCUUCUGUUUUAUCAAAAUUAGCCCUAAGUCCCGCACACUCAGAAAUUUUUCUAAAGUAUAUAAACAUUUAUCUAAAGAUUUCUCAUCCUCGUCUAAUAAGAGACAUGAGUCAUCUGCAUACUGGCUUAGUAGAUACUCAGAAUCAUUUAUUUUCAUACCAUUUAUAUCUGGGUUAUUUUUAAGUGCAGCACUCAUAAGCUCUAAAGAUAAUGGAGAUAGAGGAUCACCUUGUCUAACACCCCGACCAAUAUUAAAAAAUUGAGAGCAAUGUCCAUUAUUUAUAAUACAGCUCUGCAAUUCUGAAUAUAAGGUCUUGACCCAUCUACAAAAAAUAGGACCAAAUCCUAGAAAAGACAAAGCCAAGUCUAUACAUGACCACUCAAGAGUAUCAAAAGCUUUCUCAAAGUCUAAUAAAAGUAAAAGACCUGGUAGAUUAUCAUCUUCUGCCUUUUCCAUAAUGUCAAAAAUAAGCCUGGUACAUUCUCCAAUAUACCUUCCCUUUAUGAAACCUUGCUGUGUUUCACUAAUUAUAUCCCCAAGAAAAGGUUUUAUUCUAUUUGCUAAUGCAGCUGAUGCAAGUUUUGUAUCAACAUUUAAUAAAGUGAUAGGUCUCUCGCUUUUUAACUGAAAUUUUGAUUUACCCUCUUUUGGAAUGCAUGUUAUUACUCCUUGUUUCUGACUAACCGAAAAAGAUCCAGUUUCUAAGCUAUAAUUAAAAGAUUUUAUAAUAAACUCAUGGAGGUCUAAUCAAAAAAAAUUUAUAAAAUUCUGUUGUAAAUCCAUCCAUCCCUGGAGAUUUACCAUUUUUCAUAUUUUUCAAUGUUUUUAAGAACUCAUUAUAUGUUUAUGUGUUAAUCAGAAUGUAUUGUGUAUUGUUGUCAUUAUGCCCGUCUUAAUUGGAAAUAAGGAACUUUGAACUUUUAUAUGUCCCUGAUUUCAUUUAUAUAAUACAUGUACACCCAAGUUUAAUAGUUUAUCUAUAGAAAUUAAAUCUUUUAUGAAAACAAAUUGAUACACUACAAAGGGAAAGGGAUUAUAGGCACUUGUUUCUGGCAAUGGGGGUUCACUAUCCAUACUCUUCUUUCCCAUAUAUAAAAAAAUAAACCAGAUAAAUGUAGCAUCCCCGUUGUAAUUAACCAAUCACCCGUCACCUAUUUGAGAGCUUAUACAUACAUUUACAUGUCAGACCAGAAACUAACAAAUUUCAGUGGCAAAACCAGAACUUUUCAUAAAAGGGGAGGGGGGUCUCAUGCUUCAGUCCCUAUAUAAUCAACAAAUUUUUUUCCAACAAGGUCUCAAUAGUCAUGACAGUGGUGGUUCCAGGAUUUAAAUUGAGAAAAACUGGGUUGUGAGUGCCCCCAAAAUGUAUAUAAUUUUAGCUUGUAUUGUACAUGUUAUGAUAUUUAUGUACACUAUAAUAUAGUUGAAUAUAAAAAUGUUAACGAAAGGAUUGUUAACACACAAAUCUGCUCCAUGUUACGAUGUUAAACAUUGUUAUCUAACAUGUUUAACCCCGCCACAUUAUUUAUGUAUGUGCCUGUCCCAAGUCAGGAGCCUGUAAUUCAGUGGUUGUCGUUUGUUUAUGUGUUACAUAUUUGUUCUUCGUUAAUUUAUUUACAUAAAUAAGGCCGUUAGUUUUCUCGUUUUAAUUGUUUUACAUUGUCUUAUCGAGGCCUUUUAUAGCUGACUAUGCGGUAUUGGGGUUUCUUGUUGAAGCUGUACAGUGACCUAUAAUUGUUAUUGUCUGUGUCAUUUUGGUCUUUUGUGGAUAGUUGUCUCAUUUGCAAUCAUACCACAUCUUCUUUUUUAUAUUAUACAUGAAAAAAAUGUUUUCAAGACUUGGAAAUAUUUUCUUUGCCCAUUGUUGCCUUUAACUUUUAUGUAUUGAGCAAAAUGCUAGAGGCAUAAUUAUUUAUAAUACUUAGUAAAAACAUGUAUUUUCUUGGUAAUUCAUAUAUAUAUAUGGCAAAUUUGUAUUUAAUAUGUGUUGAUAAUAACAAUGCAAAGUUUAAUUUUGCUUUGCAUAAUUUAGUAUAUAAUUUAUUUAGUAAUUGUAUGUACAUUUGCUUUAUAUUUACAGGAAAGAGAAAGAUGUUCACUAUGAAUCAAAAAUUCAAUACAUAGGACUUUUAUAUAUCAACAAAAAACACAUGUACAUGUACAUGUGUAUGUGUGAUAUACAUACAACAAGAAAACAGUAAUCAAAUGGAAUGUCAAUCACCAGUGUCCAGUUAUGUUGAAAGCAAAAUGAUCUUAAUAGAAAACAAUAGGGCUAGAAUAUAUUAAGGGUAAGUAAUCCAAAAGUGUCUGUUUAGGGUAAAAACAGUCAGUUAUUUACAAUGUGCUAUGAUUUCAAUCCCACAAAUAUGAAACAAAAACAUAAUAUUCAUGGUAUGCAGACUGUUUUCAUAAGGGAAUAGACUGAAAAUAUCUACAUUUAACAGUCAGACAUAAUUAUAUACUAAUUAUAUAUAUAUUGGGAUUCCGCUAACAUGUUUAACCCUGCCACAUUAUUUAUGUAUGUGCUUGUCCCAAGUCAGGAGCCUGUAUAUGCAGUGGUUGUCGUUUGUUUAUGUGUUACAUAUUUGUUUUUCGUUAAUUUUUUUACAUAAAUAAGGCCGUUAGUUUUCUCGUUGAAUUGUUUUACAUUGUCUUAUCGGGGCCUUUUAUAGCUGACUUGCGGUAUGGCUUUGCUCAUGUUGAAGGCCGUACGGUGACCUACAGUGUUAAUGUCUGUGUCAUUUUGGUCUUUUGUGGAUAGUUGUCUCAUUGGCAAUCAUACCUGUAUACCACAUCUUGUUUUUUAUAAAUUAUUCUUUUUUAUAUAUAAAAGUUGCCAAUGGAAUAAAUUGAGGAUGGAAAUUAUAAUAAAUGAGAUAUAGGUCAAAGAAUCAUACACAGAUUUUAAGGCCGUAUGGUAUUCUUUUAAUAGUUAAAAGAGUUUAUUCUGUUAUCUAUGCUGUAUAAAUGUCAAGAUAGUUACAUUUGGAUUUAAAACCUAAUUUAAAUUUAAUUUAUGAUAAAAAAAAAACAAUAUAAGGGAAUUAACUCUUGCAUCAUGUGCAUCAUAUCCAUACAAAUAAAGCGUUUUAAUAAAUCUGACCUUCAUUUUUUUAGAGAAGAGAAUGACUUGAGCAGACUGUAUUGAGGUCAUAGAUGGCAAUAACAAUGAAAUACAAUAUAUUAUACUUAUCAUUCUUCAUUACUUUUUGAUUGAAUUAACAAACUUAAUUUAAUAACAAAAUAUUUCAUUUUCAGUAGACAACACAUCCUGUCAGAGGAAUAAUUUUACUGGAGGAUAAAAAUUUUAAUACCUGGAAUCAGCAAUUUAUAUGAAAAAUGUUAUGAGAGAUAUAUUCAUGUACAGAAUGGUAUCCGAGGUGGUUCAAGUGAUUAUAUGCAGACUUUUUUGUUGAACUAAUGCAGGAUUUAAUAAAUGAAAGUUUAAUAGACUAUGGGCUCCAAAGUUUAGUAACAAGAGGAUUUUUUAAAUAUGUGAGACUCAUCAACAUUAAAAAGUGCAGAAGUGAAAUGUUAC